UACGUAGGGACCAAGCGUUGUCCGGAAUCAUUGGGCGUAAAGAGCGUGUAGGCGGCUUGUUAAGUCUUGCGUGAAAUCUCGGGGCUCAACCCCGAGCGGUCGUGAGAAACUGGCAGGCUAGAGUGCGGGAGAGGAGAAUGGAAUUCCUGGUGUAGCGGUGAAAUGCGCAGAUAUCAGGAAGAACACCCGUGGCUAAGGCGGUUCUCUAGUACGGUACUGACGCUGAGACGCGAAAGCGUGGGGAGCGAACAGG
rnacentral:rRNA from 1 species